UUUAUAAUGAUGAUAUUUUCCGUCCGUGGAAUUUAUACAAAGUAAAAUCAUGCUGACAUUUUUAUGUCUUCUUUCCCCAACUGAUUA
rnacentral:snoRNA from 1 species